CUGAACCGAUAUCUGAGGCAGGCUUUCAGCCUGAGGGGAUUACCCUGCUGAUGCAGGCGGCUGCACCGAGUGCAUAACCGAUAUCCCCGUCAUACCUCAACCGCUGCCGCUCCGGCGCGCAGAUAUUGUUCA
rfam:Brenneria goodwinii strain OBR1 genome assembly, contig: Contig